rnacentral:rRNA from 1 species
AUUGAACGCUGGCGGGAUGCUUUACACAUGCAAGUCGAACGGCAGCGCGGACUUCGGUCUGGCGGCGAGUGGCGAACGGGUGAGUAAUGUAUCGGAACGUGCCCAGUAGCGGGGGAUAACUACGCGAAAGCGUAGCUAAUACCGCAUCCGCCCUCCGGGGGGAAGCAGGGGGUCAUAAGACCUUGCACCUUUGGAGCGGCCGAGGUCGGUAUAACUAGUUGGGGGGGUAACGGCUCACCCAGGCGUCGAUCCGUAGCUGGUUUGAGAGGGCGACCCGCCACUGAGGGACUGACACACGCCCCAGACUCCGACAGACGGCAGAAAUGGGGAAUUGUGGACGAAGGGGAGAACCCUGAUCCAGCCAUCCAGCGUGGGCGAUGAAGGCCUGCGGGUUGGAAAGCGCUUUUGGGAGGAAAAAAACGUUGCGGGCUAAUACCCCGUGAAACUGACGGUACCAGCAGAAUAAGCACCGGCUAACUACG